rnacentral:rRNA from 1 species
GUAGGUGGCAAGCGUUGUCCGGAAUUAUUGGGCGUAAAGCGCGCGCAGGCGGCCCUUUAAGUCUGAUGUGAAAGCCCACGGCUCAACCGUGGAGGGUCAUUGGAAACUGGGGGACUUGAGUACAGAAGAGGAAAGCGGAAUUCCAAGUGUAGCGGUGAAAUGCGUAGAGAUUUGGAGGAACACCAGUGGCGAAGGCGGCUUUCUGGUCUGUAACUGACGCUGAGGCGCGAAAGCGUGGGGAGCAAACAGGAUUAGAUACCCUGGUAGUCCACGCCGUAAACGAUGAGUGCUAAGUGUUAGGGGGUUUCCCGCCCCCUUAGUGCUGCAGCUAACGCAUUAAGCACUCCGCCUGGGGAGUACGGCCGCAAGGCUG